UACGAAGGGGGGCUAGCGUUGCUCGGAAUUACUGGGCGUAAAGGGUGCGUAGGCGGGUCUUUUAAGUCAGGGGGUGAAAUCCUGGAGCUCAACUCCAGAACUGCCUUUGAUACUGAAGAUCUUGAGUUCGGGAGAGGUGAGUGGAACUGCGAGUGUAGAGGUGAAAUUCGUAGAUAUUCGCAAGAACACCAGUGGCGAAGGCGGCUCACUGGCCCGACACUGACGCUGAGGCACGAAAGCGUGGGGGAGCAAACAGG
rnacentral:rRNA from 1 species